rnacentral:rRNA from 1 species
UACGAAGGGGGGCUAGCGUUGUUCGGAAUUACUGGGCGUAAAGCGCACGUAGGCGGAUAUUUAAGUCAGGGGGUGAAAUCCCAGAGCUCAACUCUGGAACUGCCUUUGAUACUGGGUAUCUUGAGUAUGGAAGAGGUAAGUGGAAUUCCGAGUGUAGAGGUGAAAUUCGUAGAUAUUCGGAGGAACACCAGUGGCGAAGGCGGCUUACUGGUCCAUUACUGACGCUGAGGUGCGAAAGCGUGGGGGAGCAAACAGG